GAUGAACGCUGGCGGCGUGCCUAAUACAUGCAAGUCGAGCGAACGGACGAGAAGCUUGCUUCUCUGUUGUUAGCGGCGGACGGGUGAGUAACACGUGGAUACCCUCCCUAUCAGACUGGGAUCACUUCGGGAAACCGGCGAUAAUACCGGAUGAUAUUUUGCACCGCAUGGUUCAAAAGUGAAAGACGGUCUUGCUGUCACUUAUAGAUGGAUCCGCGCUGCAUUAGCUAGUUGGUAAGGUAACGGCUUACCAAGGCAACGAUGCAUAGCCGACCGGAGAGGUUGAUCGGCCACACUGGAACUGAGACACGGUCCAGACUCCUACGGGAGGCAGCAGUAGGGAAUCUUCCGCAAUGGGCGAAAGCCUGACGGAGCAACGCCGCGUGAGUGAUGAAGGUCUUCGGAUCGUAAAACUCUGUUAUUAGGGAAGAACAUAUGUGUAAGAAACUGUGCACAGCUUGACGGUACCUAAUCAGAAAGCCACGGCUAACUACGUG
rnacentral:rRNA from 1 species